rnacentral:rRNA from 1 species
CAAUAGCGUAUAUUAAAGUUGUUGCAGUUAAAAAGCUCGUAGUUGGAUUUCUGACGUGACGAACCUGGUCCGCUCCUAACGGAGUGAUUGACCGGCUUGUUCGUUCGUCAUCUUUCGUGGAGAGCAACUCGACUCUUUACUGAGUUCGGGUUGUGAUCCCGAUCUGUUACUUUGAAAAAACUAGAGUGUUCAAAGCAGGCCUACGCUGUGAAUACAUUAGCAUGGAAUAACAAGAUAGGACUUUGGUCUCUAUUUUGUUGGUUUCUAGGACUGAAGUAAUGAUUGAUAGGGAUAGUUGGGGGUGCUAGUAUUCAGUGGCCAGAGGUGAAAUUCUGUGAUUCACUGAAGACUAACUAAUGCGAAAGCAUUCACCAAGGAUGUCUUCUUUAA